rnacentral:tRNA from 1 species
UGUCAAGGGAUGGGAAUCGAACCUACGACCUUCCGCUUACCGGGCAGAUGCCAUGACCAUUAGACUACCCUGGAC